CAGGCUGGUCUCGAACUCCUGACCUCAGGUAAUCUGCCCAAGAUCACACAGUUGGCAACUGUCUGAACCUAGUUUCAAACCCUGAGUCAGCUCAAUUCCAAAGGUCCAGUGAUUUCCAGACAACUAAAUAAUGCACCAUUUAAAAUUCUUCAGUAAGAACUUGUAGUCAGUGCUUUUAGUCUAUACAGGAUAUCAGUUUGUUCCAGGCAGCACUAAUGUGCAUAACAAUAUUGAAUGUCUUUCAUUUUAAGACAAUUGUAAGAUUUAAUGAGGACAUCAAUGUAAUAAUAGCUUUGGGGAAGC
rnacentral:lncRNA from 1 species